AUUAAAGGUGCAGUACACUGGUUUUAAUCCUAGCAGUUUGUACUGAAUUUCCCCUUAGUGUAGUACAUAGUAUCCAGUAGGUGAACAAAUACAAAAUUUGCAGUUUUCCAAAAAUACCCAGAUGAAGUACUUACUCAGGAAAAUUCUACAGUAUUCAUUGGACCAGUCUGCUUCACCUACUGUUACCCACAAUGCAAAGUGCCUGGACAGACGGCAGAAUAGCGCAGGUUAGCAAAACUUUUAGCAGAGGGUUCAUUUUCUAAGAGCACAGCUAAAAGGUUUGUCCUUCUGACAGCCUGUCUUCUUCUCCUCUUUCUU